rnacentral:misc_RNA from 1 species
UCUCCGUUGGUGAACCAGCGGAGGGAUCAUUACAGGAUCGUCGAAAGACGUCUCCUUACACCAUUGUGAACUUACCUAUUUGUCGUGCUUCGGUAGGCGGCCUCCAUUCGUGGAGAUCCCCUCGGCCUUCGGGUGCCUGCCGAAGUGCAAUCUUAUACUACCUGGCGUUUUUGUAGAAUCAGAAAACUAAGUAAAUUAUAACAACUUUCAACAAUGGAUCUCUUGGCUCUGGCAUCGAUGAAGAACGCAGC